rnacentral:misc_RNA from 1 species
GAUGAAGAACGUAGCGAAAUGCGAUAAGUAAUGCGAAUUGCAGAAUUUCCGUGAGUCAUCGAAUCUUUGAACGCACAUUGCGCCCCUUGGUAUUCCAUGGGGCAUGCCUGUUCGAGCGUCAUUUGUAUCCUCAAGCUUUGCUUGGUGUUGGGUGCUUGUCAGAUCCUCCGCGAUCCGACUCACCUUAAAUAUAUUGGCAGCCGGCGUAUUGGCAUAUGAGCGCAGCACAUUUUGCGAUCAUAUCCUCUACUCUAGCCCCCAAGAAGCCUUAUUUUUUCACUUUUGACCUCGGAUCAGGUAGGGAUACCCGCUGAACUUAAGCAUAUCAAUAAGCGGAGGA